UAGCCGUGCUGUCGCGGUAGAACAAUUCCUUCAACUAAAUAAAACCUGGAUUUGUAGUUGUUAAUUUAAGGCUAUGCUCCACAGCAAAAGGAACAAAUAAAGCAUAAAAACCAUUGAAGAGCAACUCAAAACCACUCAUUCUUCUUUUUUCUCGCCCUCUGUGUCGGCUACGCGACAUCAACAUGUUACUGUUGUCAAAAUUAAGCUAGCAUAACUGACCUACUUCCCCCUCCCUCGUUAUUUUUUCACUUUAUUAAAACUGUUUCCUGACCGUGUUAUCUAGUUGUUGUAGUGUUGACCAUGAUUAGCAAAGCACUGCCUCCUUUUAAUACAUUUAAUACUUAGCGUGUUACGUUCAAACUUGUCAGCUAAAACCAAUGCCAAUCAUCGUUAGCGAGCAGCUUUUCGCCCUCUGUACCCAUAAUGCAUUGCUGUACUUCUACAGUAAACAGUUUCCUAAACCCACGUUGCCUGAAAACUGGGAUUAUUAUGAUGCAGUGUGAAGUGUUUUCUGAGUAAUAAUCUGUUGUGCUUACAGUUCGCCAGGCUCUUCAUGGCAGACAAAACCCAAUGAGGAAGAUCAUCUGGAAAGAAAAACAGAUGUGUGAAUAAUUAACAGGGUGCGGUCCAUCACUCACUGCUCUUGUCCUCCAGCGUGACGACUCCGUGUUUGUUGACGUUGGUCAUGUUGUGGAUGAUGUUCUGAGGGUUUACGUGCCGCUGGUCCAAAACCUCAUCCAGAGAGGAGACGCC